UCUCAGCUUCUCCGUUCUUCUUUUCUCCACUCAUUCCUUUUCUCAUUUCCUUAUUUUCUCUUCUCACACAAAAAUUGGUUUUGCUGGAUAGCUCUCAUCAGCUUGCUCUCUUGAUCCGCUGUAUUGAGGUUGCUCCUCCUCACCUCAAGCCACCACUGGAGCUAGUGCUGCCACAGGGUGACCAUCAACGGCGGCUGGUUUGGCCCCUCGCCCGCAGCCUCUUGGAUCCACCUUCAGUAUGAGGGAGCUUGAGACAUUUUCUUCCCCGAGCGUGCAAAACCAAACACAUCGCCACUAUUUCUGCGGGAGGCAGCUCAACACAUCAUUCACAUCCUCUACUACGGCAACAUUCUUCAAUUCAAACUGCAGAGUACCCGGAGUGCGCCGCUUGUUACUUCGAAUCUCUAGGUUUCGCGGAUCAUCAGCAAGGC